rnacentral:rRNA from 1 species
AUCGAACGCUGGCGGCAGGCUUAACACAUGCAAGUCGAGCGAGCGGCGGACGGGUGAGUAAUGUCUUGGAAACUGCCUGAUGGAGGGGGAUAACUACUGGAAACGGUAGCUAAUACCGCAUACCAUCAGAUGUGCCCAGACGGGAUUAGCUAGUUGGUGGGGUAAUGGCUCACCUAGGCGACGAUCCCUAGCUGGUCUGAGAGGAUGACCAGCCACACUGGAACUGAGACACGGGCCAGACUCCUACGGGAGGCAGCAGUGGGGAAUAUUGCGCAAUGGGCGAAAGCCUGAUGCAGCCAUGCCGCGUGAGUGAAGAAGGCCUUCGGAUGGUAAAGCACUUUCAGCGAGGAGGCGGUACUCGCAAAGAAAGCAACGGCUAACUCCGUGCCAGCAGCCGCGGUAAUUC